rnacentral:rRNA from 1 species
CCGGCGUCCCAAGCGCUGGACUGCGGGGGAUACUGUCGAGCUAGAGGGUGGGAGAGGUCAGCGGUAUUCCCGGGGUAGGGGCGAAAUCCUUUGAUCCCGGGAGGACCACCAGUGGCGAAGGCUGCUGGCUAGAACACGCCUGACGGUGAGGGACGAAAGCUGGGGGAGCGAAUCGGAUUAGAUACCCGAGUAGUCCCAGCCGUAAACGAUGCAGGCUAGGUGUUGGGGUGGCCACGCGCCACCCCAGUGCCGCAGGGAAGCCCUUAAGCCUGCCGCCUGGGGAGUACGGCCGCAAGGCUGAAACUUAAAGGAAUUGGCGGGGGAGUACCACCAGGCGUGAAGCCUGCGGUUUAAUUGGAGUCAACGCCGGGAACCUUACCAGGAGCGACAGCAGGGUGAAGGCCAGGUUGAAGGUCUUGCCGGACGAGCUGAGAGGAGGUGCAUGGCCGUCGCCAGUUCGUGCCGUAAGGUGUCCUCUUAAGUGAGGUAACGAACGAGACCCGCGCCCCUCGUUGCCAACAAAUCCUAAAGGGAUGUUGGGCACUCUGGGGGGACCGCCGCCGAUAAGGCAGAGGAAGGUGCGGGCAACGGCAGGUCAGUAUGCCCCGAAUCUCCUGGGCCACACGCGGGCUGCAAUGGUAGGGACAGAGGGCUGCGACACCGAGAGGUGAAGCCAAUCCCUAAACCCUACCUCAGUUGGGAUCGAGGGCUGCAACCCGUCCUCGUGAACAUGGAAUGCCU